rfam:Fonsecaea pedrosoi CBS 271.37 unplaced genomic scaffold supercont1.3, whole genome shotgun sequence.
AUUUGUGAUGAUUUCCUGAUAGGGACAGCUUAUGCUCUGCAUAUGAUUCGAACUGGGAAAGAGUAUUUUAGUAGAUGCCUCUCACUUCUGACA